UGGCGGCGUGCCUAACACAUGCAAGUCGAACGAGAAAGCGGGCUUCGGCCCGCAAGUAAAGUGGCAGACGGGUGAGUAACACGUGGGUAACCUACCCGAAGGUGGGGGAUAACCCUUCGAAAGGAGGGCUAAUACCGCAUAACAUCCCGGGGUCCUCGGGUCCCGGGAUCAAAGCUAGCCUCUGCUUGCAAGCUAGCGCCAUCGGAGGGGCCCGCGUCCCAUUAGCUUGUUGGUGAGGUAACGGCUCACCAAGGCGACGAUGGGUAGCCGGCCUGAGAGGGUGAUCGGCCACACUGGAACUGAGACACGGUCCAGACUCCUACGGGAGGCAGCAGUGAGGAAUUUUGCGCAAUGGGGGAAACCCUGACGCAGCGACGCCGCGUGGAGGACGAAGGCCUUCGGGUCGUAAACUCCUGUCAAGUGGGACGAACCCCGGGAGGAUGAAUAAGCCUUCCGGCUGACGGUACCAUUGAAGGAAGCCCCGGCUAACUCCGUGCCAGCAGCCGCGGUAAUACGGGGGGGGCUAGCGUUGUUCGGAAUUACUGGGCGUAAAGGGCGCGUAGGCGGCCGUGCAAGUCGGAGGUGAAAUCCCUCGGCUCACCGAGGACUGCCUCCGAAACUGCAUGGCUCGAGUCCCGGAGAGGGUAGCGGAAUUCCCGGUGUAGCGGUGAAAUGCGUAGAUACUGGGAGGAACACCAGUGGCGAAGCGGCUACCAGGACGGGUACUGACCCU
rnacentral:rRNA from 1 species